rnacentral:rRNA from 1 species
UACGUAGGGGCCGAGCGUUGUCCGGAUUCAUUGGGCGUAAAGAGCGUGUAGGCGGCUUGUCGCGUCGUUCGUGAAAACCUGCAGCUCAACUGCAGGCUUGCGGUCGAUACGGGCAGGCUAGAGUUCGGUAGGGGAGACUGGAAUUCCUGGUGUAGCGGUGAAAUGCGCAGAUAUCAGGAGGAACACCGGUGGCGAAGGCGGGUCUCUGGGCCGAUACUGACGCUGAGGAGCGAAAGCGUGGGGAGCGAACAGG